rnacentral:rRNA from 1 species
UACGGGGGGAGCAAGCGUUGUUCGGAUUUACUGGGCGUAAAGGGCGCGUAGGCGGCCACCGCAAGUCGACUGUGAAAUCUCCGGGCUUAACCCGGAAAGGUCAGCCGAUACUGCGGGGCUAGAGUGCAGAAGGGGCAACUGGAAUUCUCGGUGUAGCGGUGAAAUGCGUAGAUAUCGAGAGGAACACCUGCGGCGAAGGCGGGUUGCUGGGCUGACACUGACGCUGACGCGCGAAAGCUAGGGGAGCGAACGGG